UCUUCCAAAUCAUUUGGUUAUCAAUCCUUACUUGAGUCAACUUACACCCAUAAUCUCGUAUAUAACUUCACCAUGAAAUUUUCUAUGUAUUUUAUUUUGUUCUUCUUGGCCAUUCUAAUUUGGCCAUCUUCAUCAGCUUCAUUGUUGGAAUAUAAACCAUGUUCUAACGGUGAACCAUGUCGCCAAACAGGUUACAAAUGUGUUUUGCGAGUCGGUAGAUGUAUUCCAGACAAUCAGGAGCAUAGAAUAGGUUGAGAGCAAAAUCAUAAGUAUGUUUUUACACAUUCAAUCGCCCAAGCAAAAAAUGUUAAUUGCGAGAUAAGGUGUUUAUUCGCUGUUACUAAUUAUUCUAUGCAAAAGGUUAAUGAUUGAAUGAAUUUACGUUGAAUGUUCUGUUAAUGAAUUUACGGUAUCUGAUAUAAAUUAAUAAAAUAAUUACAAUUAUAAA